rnacentral:siRNA from 1 species
UUCCAAAGGAUGUCUUGUGAA